UACGUAGGUGGCAAGCGUUGUCCGGAAUUAUUGGGCGUAAAGCGCGCGCAGGCGGUCCUUUAAGUCUGAUGUGAAAGCCCACGGCUCAACCGUGGAGGGUCAUUGGAAACUGGGGGACUUGAGUGCAGAAGAGGAGAGUGGAAUUCCACGUGUAGCGGUGAAAUGCGUAGAGAUGUGGAGGAACACCAGUGGCGAAGGCGACUCGUCUGGUCUGUAACUGACGCUGAGGCGCGAAAGCGUGGGGAGCAAACAGG
rnacentral:rRNA from 1 species